rnacentral:rRNA from 1 species
AUUGAACGCUGGCGGCAUGCCUUACACAUGCAAGUCGAACGGUAACAGGUCUUCGGAUGCUGACGAGUGGCGAACGGGUGAGUAAUGCAUCGGAACGUGCCCAGUCGUGGGGGAUAACGCAGCGAAAGUUGCGCUAAUACCGCAUACGAUCUAUGGAUGAAAGCGGGGGACCGUAAGGCCUCGCGCGAUUGGAGCGGCCGAUGUCAGAUUAGGUAGUUGGUGGGGUAAAGGCUCACCAAGCCGACGAUCUGUAGCUGGUCUGAGAGGACGACCAGCCACACUGGGACUGAGACACGGCCCAGACUCCUACGGGAGGCAGCAGUGGGGAAUUUUGGACAAUGGGCGCAAGCCUGAUCCAGCAAUGCCGCGUGCAGGAAGAAGGCCUUCGGGUUGUAAACUGCUUUUGUACGGAACGAAACGGUCCUGGUUAAUACCCGGGGCUAAUGACGGUACCGUAAGAAUAAGCACCGGCUAACUACGUGCCAGCCGCCGCAGUAAAAC